GUCUUCAUGAUCGAGUGGUAAGGACGCUUGCCUCUCACAGUGGAGUCCGCGGUUCGAUCCCCGGUGAGGAGU